GAGGUAAAUUAGUAAUCAUUUCAUAAAAUGGCUGCCAUCAGGUAUACAGUUUAUUUGUAAAGUCUCAAAUUGACAAAAGCAUUCAUUUUUAAAUAAUCAAAAGUAUCUUACGUUGUGCUUUUUAUAAGAACGUCCCAUAAAUAAUCUUCAAUGCAUAAAAAUUAAUUAUUUUUAUAUCGUGGUUUUUCGAAUGUAGUCGUAUGCUAUUGUGUGAUCUCACUAAACAGAGCGCGGAAGUACAAAAAAGCGUACGUCAAACUGUCAAAGAGUCCUUAUGUCAAUUUGUUUAUAGCUAUAAGCGUUGAUGAAUGUCUGAGAGUGAUACUUACGAUUCGGCGGACGAAUAUACAAGCCUAAUGGACGGUCACGUCGCGGAAUCUCGCACGGACGAUUUGGGCUUGGUCACUGGUCGAAAAAGGCGUUCGCGUAUUAGUAACGAAGAGAUUGAAAAUGGAGUUCCUGAGGUUCAUAUUCAAACACCAGGUAUAUCAAAUAAUGCAGGUUCAGGUAGAAGAAGUACAUUAAGUAGUAGUGUCCAGGGUAGAUCAAGAAAUUAUAGAGAUGAAGAAGAAGAAGAAUUAAAAUAUGGAGCAGCACAUGUUAUUAAAUUAUUUGUGCCUGUAUCUCUUUGUAUGUUAGUUGUAGUUGCCACAAUUAGUUCUAUAAAUUUUUACACAACUAAAGGAAUGUAUCUAGUAUACACUCCAUUUCAUGAAGACAGUGCUGACACAAGUACAAAGGCUUGGCAAGCAGUUGCCAACUCUUUAAUAUUAAUGAGUGUCAUUGUAUUUAUGACUGUGAUACUUAUUGUUCUAUAUAAAUAUAAAUUUUAUAAAGUAAUCCAUGGAUGGUUGAUAAUAAGUUCCUUAUUGUUGUUAUCUAUGUUUUCUAUGUUAUAUUGCGAACAAGUAUUAAAAGCAUAUAACAUUCCAAUGGAUUUGUAUACAUUAGGUUUAGUUUUGUGGAAUUUUGGAGUAGUUGGAAUGAUAUGUAUACAUUGGCAAGGUCCUUUACAAUUACAACAAGCAUAUCUUAUUUUUAUCUCUGCUCUAAUGGCGCUUGUUUUUAUUAAAUAUUUACCAGAAUGGACAGCAUGGGUUGUACUUGGUGUUAUUAGUAUUUGGGAUUUAAUUGCUGUGUUAACACCAAAAGGACCUUUAAGAAUACUUGUAGAGACUGCACAAGAGCGAAAUGAAUCUAUUUUUCCUGCAUUAAUUUAUUCUUCGACAAUUAUGUACACAGCUACAAUGACUUAUGCUGGUUAUGUACAAACAGCAACAAUGACUACUAAUGAUACUACUGCUAGUGAUAAUACAACAUAUACUAUGAAUAAUCAAGCAAAUAAUCAAAAUAAUUCUACAUCUGGAGAUGCAGAAGAGGGCGGAUUUACACCUGAAUGGAUAGAUACACAUGGUGAUCGAGGAGCAAGACGAGCACAAGAAGUACGCGAAAACACUUUGUCUUUGACAGAAAGAUCAAGACAAAAUAAUCGUGUUGCACGUGAAUCACAAGGACAACAAGUCCCAAUUACUGAGGAGGAACGAGGAGUGAAAUUAGGUCUUGGUGAUUUUAUAUUUUAUAGCGUUUUAGUUGGGAAAGCUUCCAGUUAUGGCGAUUGGAAUACUACAUUAGCUUGUUUCGUUGCUAUUCUUAUUGGACUUUGUUUAACAUUAUUAUUGCUGGCUAUUUUUAAAAAAGCAUUGCCAGCAUUACCGAUCUCUGUUACAUUUGGUUUAACAUUUUAUUUUGCCACGAGAGUAAUCGUUGCACCAUUUGCAGAUAAAUUAGCGAGCGAGCAAGUGUUCAUUUAACUAUCCAUGAAAGAACUUUGCUUAAGAAAGAAUUAUGCUUAACUUCUGGAAUCAACUCAUACAUUAAAAUUAUAAUUAGAUUUGAAAAUAGAUAUAGUUUACUUACAUGAUGAUUAACAAGCUCUCUCACCGCGUCAACACAUUUAUCAUCGUUCAAGCUUGACCAAGAUUCUGGCAAACUGCCGUCACUACCAGCACCGUCAUCCGUCUGAAAUGUAGUUCGUGCCAUCAAACUACGGACUACACGUGCCACAUAUUAUGCCGAAUUUUCCAUUUUGUCUAGAGACUCUUACCUUCUCCCACCAUUGAUGAAAUCUUUGUGCACGUUCGUGAUUGCUCAUGAAUUCUUGAAACUGACGAUGCUUGGACUGCAAUGUUGUACGCAGAGAGGCAACUUCCCUACAUAAAUUUUCUACCUAGUACCACACACACACAGAUAUCGAUGCAUUAACAAAAAAGAUAACUGAAAACAAUAUAGUUUAGACGUUUUCCAUUCUUUUUCUUUCUUUUUUUUAUUUUAUUUUAUUAUUAUUAUUAUUUCUUUUCUUUUCUUUUUUUUUUUGAUGAAAGAUGAAUUCUAAGUAAUAACAAUGAAAAACAAGAGAGAUUUUACAAAUCAUCAUAUAUAUAUAUAGAUAAUUUAAUUAUGAGAUGUAAAAGACAAAUAAUGUUCAAUAAAUAAAAAUAAAAAAUGAAAGCAUGCUACUUUUUAUGCAUAAAAAGGGGCUACGAUAAUAAUAUUAAUUUAUAUGAGAAUUAUUGACAAAUUCAAUUGAAUAUAAAAUUAAGAAUUAAUGGUAAAAAAAGAAGAAAACAGAAAUGAAAUGAAAAAUAAUCGCGAUAAUACAUUACCUUAAUAAUUCGGUUAGUUAGGUUUUUAAAUCCAACAUCAGCACUCGACAAAGUGCACGUGCGGACGUAUCCCAACAAAAUUGUUAACAAGAUACACUGGGUUUGUUAAUCGGGAGCGUUAAUUCUCUCGACCAUAUAUAACGUGUAACGCUUAAUAGAAUGUGUGAGAUAGAAUACAGAUAACAGAAGUGUGCGUGCAAUAUUAUAUCGUGGAAGAUCGAAGGCCAAUUUUUGUAAGAAAAAUUUAUUAAUCAACAGUAUUCGUAUAUAUAUAUAUUAUAUAUAUAUGUAUAUAAUAACAACAGUUCUUUCUUCUUUCUCGCAUAACAAACCCAUAUAUAUAUAUAUAGACGUUUCUACAAAAAAACAAGGCCAAAUAUGUACAUAACACGUUCUUCUUCUUUUUUUUUUUACUCUGUUCACUUAACAGUCGUCUACAAGGUACUUAACGUAUAACAUUCCACAGAAUGCCAUAUUUGUCCGGCAAUAUCUCGUCAACACUGGCACUUUAAUCGUAAACGUUUCAGGCAACUUAUCGCCAAUAAUAAGCUUUUCUAUCGCUAUUAAAAAAAAUAAGCGUUAAAAUCUCUACAGGCAGCUAUAUUCAUCUGCGUGAAAUUAGGCGCAUUUUUAUAUUAACCCGUAAUAGAACCUGCAUGAAAAUGAAAAAGUAUAAUACAAAAAAAAGAUAGACAUUUUUUUUAUAUAUAUAUAUAUAUGUAUAUAUAUAAAAAAAUGAUUCAAUUACAUAUUGGACAAAUAUUGUCCCAUUAACAAUGUAAUUGUACAUUAGUUACAUUAUAUUACAAUAUCAGGAUCCAAAAUCCUGAUAUUAGACGCCAUUCGUUGCUUUGAAGCACCUUAAGCUUUUUCUUUUUUUUUUU